UGCAGUGGUGUGGAUGGGUAGGGGAGCGUCGUGCAGCCGUGGAAGCAGCAGUGUGAACUAGUUGUGGAGGCUGCACGAGUGAGAAUGCAGGCAUGAGUAGCGAAAGACGAGUGAGAAACUCGUCCGCCGAAUGACCAAGGGUUCCUGGGCCAGGUUAAUCCGCCCAGGGUGAGUCGGGACCUAAGGCGAGGCCGACAGGCGUAGUCGAUGGACAACGGGUUGAUAUUCCCGUACCCGUGUGAACGCGCCCCUGAUGAAUCACUGGUACUAACCGUCCAAAAGGGCUUUGUUCUCCUUCGGGAGUUCGGGGUCUGGCUGCACGGGACCUUCGGUGGUAGUAGUCAAGCGAUGGGGUGACGCAGGAAGGUAGCUGGGCCGGCUGGUGGAUUAGCCGGUGUAAGCCUGUAGGGCGUGACAUAGGUAAAUCCGUGUCGCAUGUGCCUGAGAGGUGAUGCGUAGCCGUUGUGGUGAAUUCAGUGAUCCUAUGCUGCCGAGAAAAGCCUCUAGCGAGCUUUCACAUGGCCCGUACCCCAAACCGACACAGGUGGUCAGGUAGAGAAUACUAAGGCGAUCGAGAUAACUGUGGUUAAGGAACUCGGCAAAAUGCCCCCGUAACUUCGGGAGAAGGGGGACCUCGUCUGGUGAAGAGUCUUGCACUCUGAGCUGGGUGGGGUCGCAGAGACCAGAGAGAAGCGACUGUUUACUAAAAACACAGUCCGUGCGAAGUCGUAAGACGAUGUAUACGGACUGACGCCUGCCCGGUGCUGGAAGGUUAAGAGGACCGGUUAGCUGCAUUUGUGUGGCGAAGCUGAGAAUUUAAGCCCCAGUAAACGGCGGUGGUAACUAUAACCAUCCUAAGGUAGCGAAAUUCCUUGUCGGGUAAGUUCCGACCUGCACGAAUGGCGUAACGACUUCUCUGCUGUCUCGACCACAGACUCGGCGAAAUUGCAUUACGAGUAAAGAUGCUCGUUACGCGCGGCAGGACGAAAAGACCCCGGGACCUUCACUAUAGCUUGGUAUUGGUGUUCGGUUCGGUUUGUGUAGGAUAGGUGGGAGACUGUGAAGCGGGCACGCCAGUGUUUGUGGAGUCGUUGUUGAAAUACCACUCUGAUCGUAUUGGAUGUCUAACCUCGGGCCCUGAUCGGGUUCAGGGACAGUGCCUGGUGGGUAGUUUAACUGGGGCGGUUGCCUCCUAAAAUGUAACGGAGGCGCCCAAAGGUUCCCUCAGCCUGGUUGGCAAUCAGGUGUUGAGUGUAAGUGCACAAGGGAGCUUGACUGUGAGACUGACAGGUCGAGCAGGGACGAAAGUCGGGACUAGUGAUCCGGCACCGGCAUGUGGAAGCGGUGUCGCUCAACGGAUAAAAGGUACCCCGGGGAUAACAGGCUGAUCUUCCCCAAGAGUCCAUAUCGACGGGAUGGUUUGGCACCUCGAUGUCGGCUCGUCGCAUCCUGGGGCUGGAGUAGGUCCCAAGGGUUGGGCUGUUCGCCCAUUAAAGCGGCACGCGAGCUGGGUUUAGAACGUCGUGAGACAGUUCGGUCUCUAUCCGCCGCGCGCGUUAGAAACUUGAGGAAGGCUGUCCCUAGUACGAGAGGACCGGGACGGACGAACCUCUGGUGUGCCAGUUGUCCCGCCAGGGGCACGGCUGGUUGGCUACGUUCGGAAGGGAUAACCGCUGAAAGCAUCUAAGCGGGAAGCCUGUUCCAAGAUGAGGUUUCUCACCCCUUUUUGUGGGGGUAAGGCCCCCGGCAGACCACCGGGUUGAUAGGUCGGAACUGGAAGCACAGUAAUGUGUGGAGGUGACCGGUACUAAUAGGCCGAGGACUUACCAUG
rnacentral:rRNA from 1 species